CUUAGUGGCGGACGGGUGAGUAACGCGUGGGUAACCUGCCUUGCACUGGGGGAUAACACUUAGAAAUAGGUGCUAAUACCGCAUAAGCGCACGGUCCUGCAUGGGACAGUGUGAAAAACUCCGGUGGUGCAAGAUGGACCCGCGUCUGAUUAGCUGGUUGGCGGGGUAAAGGCCCACCAAGGUGACGAUCAGUAGCCGGCCUGAGAGGGUGAACGGCCACAUUGGGACUGAGACACGGCCCAAACUCCUACGGGAGGCAGCAG
rnacentral:rRNA from 1 species